rnacentral:rRNA from 1 species
GACGAACGCUGGCGGCGUGCUUAACACAUGCGAGUCGAACGGAAAGGCCCUGCUUUUGUGGGGUGCUCGAGUGGCGAACGGGUGAGUAACACGUGAGUAACCUGCCCUUGACUUUGGGAUAACUUCAGGAAACUGGGGCUAAUACCGGAUAGGAGCUCCUGCUGCAUGGUGGGGGUUGGAAAGUUUCGGCGGUUGGGGAUGGACUCGCGGCUUAUCAGCUUGUUGGUGGGGUAGUGGCUUACCAAGGCUUUGACGGGUAGCCGGCCUGAGAGGGUGACCGGCCACAUUGGGACUGAGAUACGGCCCAGACUCCUACGGGAGGCAGCAGUGGGGAAUAUUGCACAAUGGGCGGAAGCCUGAUGCAGCAACGCCGCGUGCGGGAUGACGGCCUUCGGGUUGUAAACCGCUUUCGCCUGUGACGAAGCGUGAGUGACGGUAAUGGGUAAAGAAGCACCGGCGAACUACGU